UUUUUUUUUUUUUUUUUUAAUCAUAAAGCAAUUUAAGUCCUGUUGGUUGAGCCCUGAUCUGGCUCAUAUUUAAGCAUGUGCUAAACUUCACUUGUAUAAACAACCCCAGAAUUGACAUCAGGGCUUCAAAAUGCCAUUUUGUGCCUCUGACUAUUGAAAAAACAUGGCUGGUUUAAAAAUAUCCAUCAGCCUAACCAGCACAGCACAACGCAAAGUGUGUCAGUCCACUGACAGAGAGGAAAAAUAGAUGGAGAGCAUUGCUUUGAGUGGGCAGGGAUGACAAUCAGAAGGAAUAAUGUCAUUCCAGGUGUGGGAAUAUUUGUGUUUGCUCUUGGUGAUGAUGGCUGUGACACCCAGCUCGCCCUCAGUGCUGCGACAGCAGGGGAUGGAGCUGGAAUGCAGGAAACAACUCUCAGUGAUACCCACAGGAGACUCUCGGUGGCUGAAAAAACGAUGAAGGCUUCUCACACUUUGCACAAGAACUCCAGGCUGACAAAAGAUGAAGAAUAGUCAGGAAGAGACAGGAAGUGGUGGAUGAAAAUUUUACUACGGGCAGCUUUCUUUUCCACAGAAAAAAGUUUCUAUUUCCUGGCCAGGCCUUGUCUUACAGUGAAAUUUCUUUGUCUUCCUGUUUAUCAGGUUGCUCAGCAGACACAAAUGUGUUGGCACAGGGCAAAACACAGCCUGUGACAGGGGGAAGGGGUCCUGCAACACCUUGGAUUAAUGUUCUUCUUGGGGUUAUCCCUCCAGCUUUUGCAUUGGACUCGUGGCCAGUGUUUUACAAGCCUUGGCUGCAGCUGGACAUUAUCUGACGCCUUUUGCCCCUCUGGAACAGCUCUGAUGGACACCAGAGAGUCCAAACCUCUCUGAUAUUGCCACACCACAAUAGGCAACAAGAUUUUUCAUAUUCUGUCUUGUUUGUAAGAUUCCCAAGGUGUUUUUUUUCUCUUUUAUUAUCCCAAAUGCAUGAUAAAAAUCAUAAAACCUGAGAAUUGUUUGGUAUGGGAUGGACCUUAAAGACCAUCUUUUUUUCCAGCGCCUUCUGCUAGAUCAGGUUACUCCAAGCCCCAUCCAACCUGGCCUUGAACACUUCUAUUUGAUAUUCACUUGAUAAUUUAUCUUUUCAUUGUUUCAUUUACCUGCAGGUAAAUCAGGUUCCUAAUCCAAUUCUGAAAUCUUGGGAUUUUUUUCCUAUAAACUCUUUAAUGAUGUCUCUGCCUGCUUUAAUGAUGCUUGUUUGUGCUAUUAACACUUUAAUAAAUACAUCCUCAUGUCAAAUAUUCAGGAACCUCACAUUAAUUUGCAUUAAAGAUGCUACAAAAGCAAAAUAAUUUGCCACACGUCACUCAUCAUACAUGGAUUUUGAUCACUAGAAUCUUUGUUCUACACUUCUUUGCAAAUUAAAAUAAAUAGUUCCACUCAAAACCAAAAAAUGCCAUCUUCAGUCCAAAGUGUCUCAGAAAUCACUGUGACUUCUAAAAUAUCUCAGUUUUCUAAAUGGCUCUAAAAUAUUUAAAUGUUCUAAAUGGCUGAACUUGGAAAAGUCACAAGGAGCUGCACAGCAUGGAAGCAGACCUUCUUUAACAUGUUGAGCUAAAUGUUACCACAUUUCCCAGGGAUUUUAAUUGAGAAAAAUAUUACAGACUUCCACCAAUGUGCACAGAGGUAGCAAAGCUAUGUUGUGUCUCUUUUACUACUCCCUUGCAGAUGGAGAGCAGGAAAAAAUGCUUGAGUAAAGCAACAGCAAUGUCUUUGUGAAGUUUUCCUGUCAUGCUUGAUUCUGCUUUGGGUUUGGUGGUGUUUUUUCCUUUGGAAAACAGACAGAAACCUCCAAACAAAUUUCAAACAGACAGAAACUUCCAAAGGUCAUUCUGGAAGCUCAUGGACCUGUGCAGGAGUUCCUGUUGGCUUUACCUUCAGAAAAAUACAGACAAGAAAAUGAGCAUUUCCUCCUGCCUCUCCCUAUCACAUCUUUAAUCUCUUUGUGUGGUUUCUGCCUGUGGCUUUCUGAGGCUCCAGCAGCCCCUCCAGUUUCAGACCAUAAAAGAGAAUCUUCAAGGUAGCCUGGAGAGACUGGUAAGCCAUCCUCACCACACAUGUGACAGCCUGUUUGAAAUAAUACCAACUUUCACAGUGAACCCUCACCUUUCAGCCUAGAGAAUUGCUUAAAGAAGAAAACAAUUUAUCUGGGGCUUAAUGUAGUGCAGGGUGGGGACUUCUGGCUGUGUGUUUCACGUGAGAUAUGGGGACAGACAGAGCUCUGUGGUCUAUAAAGGGGUUUGGAGUUGUUGACCACUUGGAGGACUGUGAGGAAGGACUUUCAAGCAAGUUUUGAGGAGGUUAUCCCAAAGUGAGGGAGGAAAAUGAACAUGGGAUGGUAGAAGUGAAUAGGAGAGGAGAAGAAGCCUCUCACCACUCUGCCCAGCACGGAGAGUGCUCGGGGCUCACCUCCCUCACCCACAGCUGACCCAAGGGCUGUGCACCAGGCAAGAAGUGGGAGUCAGUGCAGUCUCUCAGGGUGGUGAAAAGAUUGAUUUAUUUUUUCUCUAUGGGGAAAAAAAAACCCACAAAAACCAGGUCAAAUAUAUAAAACAUUUCUCAAAAAUAUGUAUUGUUGCUGUUUCCAUGUGUUAAGUUUGACGCUGAGGUAUUGUCUCUGCAUGCAGUUUUCAGCUUCUGUCACGAUCUCUGCAUCACUCCUCAAAUUUCCUGCUUGGAAACUGGAUUUUUUAGAGUUUUUCUCAUCUGCCCAAAGGCUUUACUCUCUCCAAUAAAUCUACUGCUGAUCUCUUCAACGUGGUAAACACACUCAUCUUCUCACAGGGCUGGUGGGUCUGUGUCUGGAGAAGCACAGAGGAGGUUGUGUAUGUUAGAGGCUUCAGCCUGACAACUGCUGUGCUGUUCUUUAGGGGAUAGAUUCCUCCUUCCUUUCUCCCACAAAGCUGUAAGAGAAUAAAAAGAAAUUACCUUUCAUUGCAAGUCGAUUUGUGGGAUGUAAUGGCACAAUUUAGAAAGGAAUAUUGCAGACAGUGAGACCACUUGGAUUAGAAACCUUGAAUCAGUUUGUGGGGCUAUAUAUUUCCAUAGCACUGUGUUUUGUUGUGUGGGGAAUUUAAUAAGAGAUGUAAAUCUGCAAACUGCAAUGGUAUCACCAUAAAACAUAAAAGAUUCAUGUAUUAUAAAUAGGUAUGACAAAUAAAUUAUUUAUGUGAAUGUA